rnacentral:rRNA from 1 species
UACGUAGGGGGCGAGCGUUAUCCGGAAUUACUGGGCGUAAAGCGCACGCAGGCGGUUCGCCAAGUUUGGAGUGACAGUUGUCGGCUCAACCGACAAAGGACUUCAAAAACUGGUGAACUUGAGGACGAGAGAGGAACAUGGAACUCCAGGUGUAGUAGUGAAAUGCGUAGAUAUCUGGAAGAACACCAAUGGCGAAGGCAAUGUUCUGGCUCGUUUCUGACGCUCAGGUGCGAAAGCCAGGGGACGCGAACGGG